rnacentral:rRNA from 1 species
GAUGAACGCUGGCGGCGUGCCUAAUACAUGCAAGUCGAGCGAACGGACGAGGAGCUUGCUUCUCUGAUGUUAGCGGCGGACGGGUGAGUAACACGUGGAUAACCUACCUAUAAGACUGGGAUAACUUCGGGAAACCGGAGCUAAUACCGGAUAAUAUUUUGAACCGCAUGGUUCAAAAGUGAAAGACGGUCUUGCUGUCACUUAUAGAUGGAUCCGCGCUGCAUUAGCUAGUUGGUAAGGUAACGGCUUACCAAGGCAACGAUGCAUAGCCGACCUGAGAGGGUGAUCGGCCACACUGGAACUGAGGCACGGUCCAGACUCCUACGGGAGGCAGCAGUAGGGAAUCUUCCGCAAUGGGCGAAAGCCUGACGGAGCAACGCCGCGUGAGUGAUGAAGGUCUUCGGAUCGUAAAACUCUGUUAUUAGGGAAGAACAAAUGUGUAAGUAACUAUGCACAUCUUGACGGUACCUAAUCAGAAAGCCACGGCUAACUACGUG